rnacentral:rRNA from 1 species
AUGGCUCAGGAUGAACGCUAGCGACAGGCUUAACACAUGCAAGUCGAGGGGCAGCGAUAAAAGUAGCAAUACUUUGGGUGGCGACCGGCGCACGGGUGAGUAACGCGCAUGCAACCUACCUAUCAGAGGGGAAUAACCCGGCGAAAGUCGGACUAAUACCGCAGUAAAACAGGGGCACCGCAUGGUGAUAUUUGUUAAAGAGAUUCGCUGAUAGAUGGGCAUGCGUUCCAUUAGGUAGUUGGUGAGGUAACGGCUCACCAAGCCGACGAUGGAUAGGGGAACUGAGAGGUUGGUCCCCCACACUGGUACUGAGGCACGGACCAGACUCCUACGGGAGGCAGCAGUGAGGAAUAUUGGUCAAUGGGGCGGGAGCCUGAACCAGCCAAGUCCGCGUGAAGGAAGAAGGAUCUAUGGUUCGUAAACUUCUUUUGCAGGGGAAUAAAGUGCAGGACGUGUCCUGUUUUGUAUGUACCCUGAGAAUAAGGAUCGGCUAACUCCGUGCCAGCCGCCGC